AUGUGGGGAAUACAUAGUUCCAAUGUAAAUGUGGGGCAUAUAUAGUCAUCAAUCUAGGCUAUCAACAUCAUGGGGCUCAUUGUGGAUGGAGCAUAGCCUGAAAAACACAUUGAUAAAAUGAUCCCAUCCAACUGAUUGGUUGCUGUCAAAUAGAUGGCUAAAUGAAAUGCUCAGUGGUCAGAAUUCAAUGAGUGAAAACAGAUGGUUAAGAUCAUACAAUCAGUGUGAAUUUCGGACUUCACCUCACCAAGAAUAGUGCCUACAAUUUGCACAGGUUAGAUUGCCCUACCUGUCGCACAUGCUUGGUGUUCGAGAUACCACAAAAAAAUGAUGGUCAACUAUUGCCUUACUCUACCCUUGCUUUUUGAUUGCCAUAGCAUGUGUACUUUCGCCGCCCUCUUGGUUGACUAUGACAAACUAGCUGCUUUUAAGAACACAAUUCACAAUUUUCUCUUUCAUUCAUUUUCUGUUACAGUGAAGAUGUAUCUUGUAUGGAUGUAUGAACAAGCAUCGUGCAUUCUUGUCAGCUAUAAUAUAAUUGUUGCAUCAACAUGGUUACUAGUUUGUUUUCAGGAAGUAGCCAAUGAGCUCUGCAAACUGUUAUUUCCUGGCAUGCCUUCAUUCACCCUGAAGAAAGGGAGAACUAGUGUCGUGAUGUUUGUUGGUCUACAGGGUUCCGGGAAAACGACAACAUGCACGAAAUACGCAUGUUAUCAUAAGAAAAAAGGUUGGAAACCAGCUCUAGUCUGCGCAGAUACCGUCAGAACUGGUGCAUUUGAUCAGUUGAAAGAAAAUGCCUCGAAAGCUACGAUUCCUUUUUAUGGAAGCUACAUGGAGACAGACCCUGUAAAAAUUGCAACGGAGGGUGUGGAACAGUUUACAGAGGAAAAUUUUGAUCUUAUAAUUGUAGACACAAGUGGACACAAAGAGGAAGCUCCCCUGUUUGAAGAAAUGCACCAAAUGUUUGAAGCAGUGAAACCCGAUCUUGUUGUAUAUGUUAUGAAUAGCAGUAUUGGCCAAGCUGCAUUUGACCAUGUUCAAGCAUUUAAACAAACCAUUUCAGUUGGUGCUGUGAUUGUCACCAAUGUGGAUAGUCAUGCAAAAGGAGUUGGUGCACUUAGUGCUCUUUCUAGGACAAAGUGUCCAGUGAUAUUCAUUGGUACUGGAGAACACAUGGAUGAGUUUGAGGUUUUUGAUGUGAAGCCCUUGGUCAGCUGUCUUUUAGGCACGGAUGAUUGGUCUGGAUAUAUGAAUGAGAUUCAUGAUUUUGUGCCUAUGGAUCGACAGCCGAAACUUCUACAAAAACUUUCUCAAGGGAAUUUUACUUCAGGAGUUAUGUCUGAGCAAUUCCAAAGCAUGCCCAAUAGAGGUUCUACUGACCAGGUUGUCUCUAUGAUUCAUUGCACUAAAGAAUUGAAUCCUAGGGUUAUUAAGAGACAUCUAGAAGAGGCGAAGAGCCACGUGAGUAGACUACUAUGGAAUCAACGACUAAUGAAGUGGUUUGCUGUGAAGUGAUUUGAGAUCAAGGCAGGGUUGAGAUGGAUGCGAGUAUUGCCUUAGCUGGGGCUUAAUUGCUGGGACAAGGGCUAGGAUGUUGCUAACACGUGGACCGGAAGAAGCCCAAAGAUAAGUCGACAAUAUUCAGCAUAGUUCGACCGAUCAAUAGAUCUGGUCGACAAGUCGAAAUUCUAGUUUGAUUGCUGGACAAUUUUUACCAGUUUUGACAAGUCGAAGGCCUGUUUGACAGGUCAACCAAUUGGGUCGACAGGUCGAAAUUCACAGAAUUUUUAAUUUUAGUCUCUAGAUGUUUUUUAGCCAGUUUGACCGGUCGACAAUGGAUCGAUAGACGCCGAAAAUUUGCAGGUUUUUCGGAAUUUAUUUCCUUAUUUGAUUUGGUCUUUUUUAUUAUGUUUUAGGGUUUGUUUAGUAUUAUUUAAGGAUGUUAAACUCGUUUUUUAAGAAGCAAUCAAUUUUUUAAGCAAUAAAAUUCUCAGAAAUUAUAUUAUUUCUCUCGUGCAUUUGAGAAUUCUCUCUUGUGGAUUCUAGAGAGCCUUCUAGAUUCAAGGUGUUUAUCAAUCGAAGAAGAUGGUGAUUGACCUCAUCACGUCCUCCCCUGUGUCACUUUCAUUUUCUUUUGAAGUUGAUAUGUCUGAAUUGUAUGAAAAUAUAACUUGAUGGGAGAAUUUUAUUGUCUAAAUAUUGUUGGAUUUUGGGUGAAUUUGGAAGGUUCAUCUUGGUUGUUGA